rnacentral:rRNA from 1 species
UACAGAGGUCCCAAGCGUUGUCCGGAAUUACUGGGCGUAAAGAGCGCGUAGGCGGCACGGUACGACCGGUGUGAAAGCCCCCGGCUCAACUGGGGAGGGUCACCGGUAACGGUCGAGCUAUGAGUGCAGGAGAGGGAAGUGGAACUCCGGGAGUAGCGGUGAAAUGCGUAGAGACCCGGAGGAACACCAGUGGCGAAGGCGGCUUCCUGGUCUGCGACUGACGCUGUGGCGCGAAAGCUAGGGGAGCAAACGGG